rnacentral:RNase_P_RNA from 1 species
UUGGGAGGGCGGAUAGUCGCUCCCCGAACGUGUUUCGGGGGGAGGAAAGUCCAGACUCCACAGGGCGGGAUGCCCGGCGCAAGCCGGGGCGGUCGAGGUAACAACGGCCGACGGACAGUGCAACAGAAAACAAACCGCCAGAGAGUGCCUAAGUGCCCAAGCGCCUAAGUGGGCAAGUGCCUUGGCCGCGGGCUUCAGCACUUCGAUACUUCGGCACUUGAGCACUCUCUGGUAAGGGUGAAACGGCGGGGUAAAAGCCCACCGCGCCGGCAGCAAUGUCGGCGGCACGGCAAACCCCAUCCGGAGCAAGACCAAAUAGGCGGCAAUGACGUGGCCCGCGUCGCCGCGGGUACCGGUCGCAUCAGAUAAAUGACUAUCAAGAACAGAAUCUGGCUUACGGCCCUCUCCAACAA